rnacentral:misc_RNA from 1 species
GUGGAAAUCAAUGAACCCAAGUUGAUAUAAUGAUUAUAAUUGCAAAUUCAUGUCAAAAAUAAAAACUCACAGCGUUAAUAAGCCACAGACAAUUGUUAGCCACAAACAGAGCAAAUGAAGAUGGGGCUAAAAAAUUCCACACAAAUGUAAAAGAACAUAUGGAGCUGGUAGUUGUAAAAAUACAGAGCUCAUUUAGCCUCCUCUCAUUAAAUCACCAAAAAUGAAAAGGAGAUGAAAACUAGAAAUCAUAUUUCAAAGGUUAGCACUUAAAAAUAUUUGUAUCAACAGAGCAUAGCAUACAAGACUGAUUUCAC